rnacentral:rRNA from 1 species
GAAACAGUGGCUAAGACUGGAUAGGAAGAUAAAAGGCAUCUUUUAUCUUUUAAAAGACCUAGUAAUAGGUAUGCUUUAGGAGGGGCUUGCGCCAUAUUAGUUAGUUGGUAGGGUAAUGGCCUACCAAGACGAUGAUGUGUAGCUGGACUGAGAGGUUGAACAGCCACAUUGGGACUGAGACACGGCCCAAACUCCUACGGGAGGCAGCAGUAGGGAAUUUUCGGCAAUGGAGGAAACUCUGACCGAGCAACCGCCGCGUGAAUGACGAAGUACUUCGGUAUGUAAAGUUCUUUUAUCAAGGAAGAAAAGCAAAUGGCGAACCAUUUGUUUGCCGGUACUUGAUGAAUAAGCCCCGGCUAAUUAUGUGCCAGCAGCCGCGGUAAGACAUAAGGGGCAAGUGUUAUCCGGAAUUAUUGGGCGUAAAGGGUGCGUAGGCGGUCUAGUAAGUCAGUGGUGUAAUGGCAACGCUUAACGUUGUCCGGCUAUUGAAACUGCUAAACUUGAGUUAGAUAGAGGCGAGUGGAAUUCCAUGUGUAGCGGUAAAAUGCGUAAAUAUAUGGAGGAACACCAGAGGCGUAGGCGGCUCGCUGGGUCUUAACUGACGCUGAGGCACGAAAGCGUGGGGAGCAAACAGGAUUAGAUACCCUGGUAGUCCACGCCGUAAACGAUGAGUACUAAGUGUCGGGUUAAACCGGUACUGAAGUUAACACAUUAAGUACUCCGCCUGAGUAGUACGUACGCAAGUAUGAAACUUAAAGGAAUUGACGGGACUCCGCACAAGCGGUGGAUCAUGUUGUUUAAUUCGAAGAUACCCGAAAAACCUUACCAGGUCUUGACAUGUUUUUGCAAAAUGAUAGUAAUAUCGUGGAGGUUACCAGAAACACAGGUGGUGCAUGGUUGUCGUCAGCUCGUGUCGUGAGAUGUUAGGUUAAGUCCUAAAACGAGCGAAACCCUUAUCGUUAGUUGCCAGCACGUUAUGGUGGGGACUUUAACGAGACUGCCAAUGAUAAAUUGGAGGAAGGUGAGGAUCACGUCAAAUCAGCAUGCCCCUUAUGACCUGGGCUACAAACGUGAUACAAUGGCUGUUACAAAGGGUAGCUGAAACGCAAGUUCUUGGCCAAUCCCCAAAAACAGUCCCAGUCCGGAUUGAAGUCUGCAACUCGACUUCAUGAAGUUGGAAUCGCUAGUAAUCGCGAAUCAGCAUGUCGCGGUGAAUACGUUCUCGGGGUUUGUACACACCGCCCGUCA